GAUGAACGCUAGCGGCAGGCUUAAUACAUGCAAGUCGAGGGGCAGCAUGAAUGUAGCAAUACAUUUGAUGGCGACCGGCAAACGGGUGCGGAACACGUACACAACCUUCCUAUAAGUGGGAAUAGCCCAGAGAAAUUUGGAUUAAUACCCCGUAACAUAAUGAUGUGGCAUCACAUUAUUAUUAUAGCUACGGCGCUUAUUGAUGGGUGUGCGGCUGAUUAGAUAGUUGGCGGGGUAACGGCCCACCAAGUCUACGAUCAGUAGCUGAUGUGAGAGCAUGAUCAGCCACACGGGCACUGAGACACGGGCCCGACUCCUACGGGAGGCAGCAGUAAGGAAUAUUGGUCAAUGGACGCAAGUCUGAACCAGCCAUGCCGCGUGAAGGAUUAAGGUCCUCUGGAUUGUAAACUUCUUUUAUCUGGGACGAAAAAAGGCGAUUCUUCGUCACUUGACGGUACCAGAUGAAUAAGCACCGGCUAACUCCGUG
rnacentral:rRNA from 1 species